UUGCGGUGUGAACGGCACCGAGACGACGGAUCAGGCGGGGAACUCGACUCAACCAGCGCUAUCACUAUCACCGUCGCAGUUAUGCCAGGGCCCGAAGUCGACGCAACAGCUCCGUAACAGCCCCGAGUGUUCCGAGAGCCGGUGCCAUGACGAAAAGGAUAACGGCCAAGGGAAGAACGUUUCGCGGCCGGGCUGCCUUGACGCGAUAACACUGGAUUUGAUGUGGAUUACCGCGUACAUCGCCGGACUCUGUUUCAUAGCGAUCUUUGCCAACAUCCUGGUGGUGGUGUCCAUCGGAGUUCUCGUAUGGAAGACCGAUUGCAGCGAGAAAUGACUGCGAAAGGUGACGUGGAAAUUCCACGAAAGAGGAGACAGAAAUUACAUUUAUUGACAGGUCUGUUCGUUCACC